rnacentral:rRNA from 1 species
AUGCGGAGGGUGCGAGCGUUGUUCGGAAUUAUUGGGCGUAAAGAGCAUGUAGGCGGUCUGUUAAGUCUGGUGUGAAAGCCCGGGGCUCAACCCCGGAAGUGCAUUGGAUACUGGCAGACUUGAGUAUGGGAGAGGAAAGCGGAAUUCCGAGUGUAGGAGUGAAAUCCGUAGAUAUUCGGAGGAACACCAGUGGCGAAGGCGGCUUUCUGGACCAAUACUGACGCUGAGAUGCGAAAGCGUGGGGAGCAAACAGGAUUAGAAACCCCAGUAGUCC